AUUCCAGCUCCAAUAGCGUAUAUUAAAGUUGUUGCAGUUAAAAAGCUCGUAGUUGAAUUUUGGACCUGGCUGGGUGGUCUUGCCGCAAGGUUAGCACUGCUCUGGUUGGGUCUUUCCUUCUGGGGAACCUGUGUGCGCUUAAUUGAGUGCGCAGGGGAUCCAGGACUUUUACUUUGAAAAAAUUAGAGUGUUUAAAGCAGGCGUACGCUUGAAUACAUUAGCAUGGAAUAAUAAAAUAGGCCUUCGGUUCUAUUUUGUUGGUUUCUAGGACCGGAAGAAUGAUUAAUAGGGAUAGUUGGGGGCAUUAGUAUUUGAUUGUCAGAGGUGAAAUUCUUGGAUUUAUCAAAGACUAACUUCUGCGAAAGCAUUUGCCAAGGAUGUUUUCAUCG
rnacentral:rRNA from 1 species